rnacentral:rRNA from 1 species
UACGGGGGGGGCAAGCGUUGUUCGGAAUUACUGGGCGUAAAGGGCUCGUAGGUGGCCAACUAAGUCGGACGUGAAAUCCCUCAGCUUAACUGGGGAACUGCGUCCGAUACUGGAUGGCUUGAGUUUGGGAGAGGGAUGCGGAAUUCCAGGUGUAGCGGUGAAAUGCGUAGAUAUCUGGAGGAACACCGGUGGCGAAGGCGGCGUUCUGGACUGCAACUGACACUGAAAAACGAAAGCCAGGGGAGCAAACGGG